UAAACCUCUCAUCCAUUCACAUUUAUUUAUUUAUUCAAUGUUUUAAUUGUCUGUUUGUUUGUUUGUCACAGAUGUAUAUAUAGCCAUGCGGCAGAAGCUUCUCUCCAUCUUUAGCAUACACGGAACUGUCUCUGAUCUUCACGGUGGAGCGCAGAGAGGCGGAGAAACGGAAGUCGGAAGACGGAUUUUAACCGAGUUUGAAAACUUGCUUCCGUUUGCUAGUACUGUGAGACAACGUGGUCUCCGAAGAGGCCUGGAUGCUCAAGCAAACUCUGGAGCUGCUUUUUGUCGUUAAUGAAGAGGUCUGAACGCUAAAACAAAGUCUGGAGCGGUUUUUGUCGUUAAUGAAGAGGUCUGUGUGCUAAAACAAACUCUGGAGCUGCUUUUUGUCGAACACGAAUGAGACUGGACGCUGAACACACCUGCGGCGAAGGUUUACUCGUUCAGCUGCUGCAGCCUGGACAGAAGCACCAGCUCUCGCCUUAAAAACCAAACAGGAUUCAAACUUCAACCAUUGAAGCAGAGAGAGAAGAGACAGACGUGAAGACAUUUUCAGUCAGGUCUUCAGCUGCUGUCGUCUUCUCCUCCUGCAGAGACAAGAACAUGCAUUAAUCACAGAAACUGAUCAAUCUAAAUAUUUUUAUGACAUACUACUCUGACAUUUUUUUUUUUUUUUUAAUGUUUUUAUGCCUUGUGGGUUGGAUUUUCAUUUUGGUAUUUUGCUAUUUCAAACUGUGCAAUACCAGUAUUCAAAUCCAAUCUAAUACUGUCUAUGUAGUCUGUUUAUACUGUUCAUAUUAUUUAUAUAUUAUCUUGUUUUAAAUCUUGUCUUGUAUAUAUAAUGCCCUUUUUUAUUUUUUGCUGUUGCAACACUGAAUUUCCAGGUUGUGGAACUAAUAAAGGAUCAAAUAAAUA